rnacentral:rRNA from 1 species
CCCUUAGAUGUCCUUGGCCGCACGCGCGCUACACUGACAUGUUCAACAAGCCUCCUAGUUCGACAGGAUUUGGGAAAUCUUUGAACGCAUGUCGUGAUAGGGAUAGAUCAUUGCAAUUAUUGAUCUUGAACGAGGAAUUCCUAGUAAACGCGAGUCAUCAGCUCGCAUUGAUUACGUCCCUGCCCUUUGUACACACCGCCCGUCGCACCUACCGAUUGAAUGUUUCGGUGAAGAUUCCGGAUAGGACUUUUUUGAUUUAUUUCAAUUUCGUCUUAAAAGCUAUCUAAACCUCAACAUUUAGAGGAAGGUGAAGUCGUAACA